rnacentral:rRNA from 1 species
GACGAACGCUGGCGGCGUGCUUAACACAUGCAAGUCGUACGGUAAGGCCCUUUCGGGGGUACACGAGUGGCGAACGGGUGAGUAACACGUGAGUAACCUGCCCACAACUUUGGGAAAACGCUAGGAAACUGGUGCUAAUACUGGAUAUGUGCUCCUGCUGCCUGGUGGGGGUUGGAAAGCUCCGGCGGUUGUGGAUGGACUCGCGGCCUAUCAGCUUGUUGGUGGGGUAGUGGCCUACCAAGGCGGCGACGGGUAGCCGGCCUGAGAGGGUGACCGGCCACAAUGGGACUGAGAUACGGCCCAGACUCCUACGGGAGGCAGCAGUGGGGAAUAUUGCACAAUGGGCGCAAGCCUGAUGCAGCAACGCCGCGUGCGGGAUGACGGCCUUCGGGUUGUAAACCGCUUUCAGCAGGGACGAAGCUUUUUGUGACGGUACCUGCAGAAGAAGCACCGGCUAACUACGUG